CAGCUGGGGAAAAAAAAAAAAGGAGAAAAAAAAAGGAGACAAGAGGAGUUAAUUAGGGCAAUUCAAGGGGUUUUAAUUAAGGGUGAGGUAAUAGAGCUUGUGAUGAGAGGAAAUUAAGAAAGAAAAAAUCGACAGUGGAUAACAGCUUCUGAUUUCCUAUGGUGCUAUUGGUUUGAGGGAGGACUAACAGCCUAAGAAUCUGAAAGGAAUUGACCUUCACUUCUCAGCAUCCUUUGGGAAGAAAUGGGCUUGCAUCUCAGGUCACAUCCUCAUCCCCCAAAGGUCAAAAAGAUUUCGCUUUUGUGGCUCGUGUUUGCUGUGAGACUAAGCAAGAGGAGAGCCUUGCUCAUAAAGCCCUGAACGCUGUUCAAUACCAUGCACUGAUAAUGUUCUCCAGACCGCUUCAUCCCAUGGGGGGAAAAAAUCUGUAUAAAGUCCGGAAAAGCUUCUUCCUGCCUCGAAACAUGUGCAGCAGCAAGACCAGAGGAGAAAAAUAAAAUUCCGCUGGCAACAGGUGUGCCUGGGCUUUGCUAGCAGGAGCUUGGCAUCCGGAGAACUGGGCAGCAGGGAUGCACAGAGCCCGGGCUGGGCAUGGGGGAGAAAAUCCUCCCCGCUGGUUCUCACGGCACGUAAUGAGGCGGAAAGGUCACCGAAAGGUUUAGCUCAACUCGUAAGUGAAACGGGGAUUUGGGGAUUUCCGUGCGGUAUUUAGCACGGGGAAAACCUCCUCCUUGCGGCAGCUCCGCGAGCCAAAGCACAGAGUGGGGACAGCGGCUGCAGCCAGGCCAG
rnacentral:lncRNA from 1 species